rnacentral:rRNA from 1 species
UACGUAGGGGGCUAGCGUUGUCCGGAAUCAUUGGGCGUAAAGCGCGUGUAGGCGGUCCGGUAAGUCCGCUGUGAAAGUCGGGGGCUCAACCCUCGAAUGCCGGUGGAUACUGUCGGGCUCGAGUCCGGAAGAGGAGUGUGGAAUCCUGGUGUAGCGGUGAAAUGCGCAGAGUAUCAGGAGGAACACCAAUGGCGAAGGCAGCACUCUGGGACGUGACUGACGCUGAGACGCGAAGCGUGGGAGCAAACAGGAU